rnacentral:lncRNA from 15 species
UUGCUGAUGGUUUGGGUUGGGUUAAGGUUACACCUAGGUCCAUAGACCACAGCUGCUGGAUGUGCAGGGGCUUGUAGGUGGCAAUUGACAGUCUUCCCAUGUUCUCUGUCUCAGCCUGGUGGUUUGGGGAUUACAGGAAGUGUUGGUUGUUCCUUUGCAUCUGAUAUCAGAAAACUCCUGAAUGUUACUCUGAAGAUGCCUAAGGCGAUGUGAAGUCCAGUAAAAAUGCUUCCUCACUC